rnacentral:lncRNA from 1 species
CUACAGCUUCCUCUACAUCCAUCCCCCAAUUCCCUCGCUGUCCCAUCCUCCCAUGUUCCCCACUAACCCCCCAAACCACCCACCCCCCAGGAGUACUGUCUUGAUUGCUCAUUUAUUUAUAUCGGAAGACCAAGCAUAUUAUGACCUGGUGCUGUAUACUACACAAAGAAACAUAGUUCAGCACCUAGAAGACUGAUUAUCUAUGAUCAGGACACCCCAU